UACGGGGGGAGCAAGCGUUGUUCGGAUUUACUGGGCGUAAAGGGCGCGUAGGCGGCGCAACAAGUCACUUGUGAAAUCUCCGGGCUUAACUCGGAGCGGCCAAGUGAUACUGUCGUGCUAGAGUGCGGAAGGGGCAACUGGAAUUCUCGGUGUAGCGGUGAAAUGCGUAGAUAUCAGGAGGAACACCGAUGGCGAAGGCAGGUCUCUGGGCUGACACUGACGCUCAUGCACGAAAGCGUGGGGAGCAAACAGG
rnacentral:rRNA from 1 species